rnacentral:rRNA from 1 species
AUGCCCUAGGCAGUCCGGAUUGUAAACUAAAGAGCGUGAUUCCAGGCAAGCCGGUUGAUCAAGUCCUUUGGAAUGAGGCGCCACUGAGGGUGAGAGCCCCGUAAGUCGACUGAGCAUUUGUCUUUUGUGUUUCGCGUUCAAAGAGUCAGGUUGUUUGGGAAUGCAGCCUAAAGCUGGUGGUAAAUCCCACCUAAAGCUAAAUACAGGCGAGAGACCGAUAGCGAACAAGUACCGUGAGGGAAAGAUGAAAAGAACUUUGAAAAGAGAGUUAAACAGUAUGUGAAAUUGCCAAGAGGGAAGCAUUUGGAGUUAGAUUGACUAGGAGUUAAUCAGCUUGGUCUUUGGACUGGGUGUACUUGACUUCUAUUGGUCUGCCAAUAGCAGUUAGUCCUAGUGGAAAAAACCAGAGGGAAGGUAGUCCUUCGGGAUGUUUAUAGACCUUUGGAAAAUACACUGGGAUUGACUGAGGAAUGCAGUAGAUGCCACUAAGGNUUCGUCUAGUGGGUGCUAGGCAAAGGUACUUGGUAUUUUCAGCUUGCUGAUGUG